GGGUGGGAUCAUACCAGCACUACAACACCGAAUUCC
rnacentral:rRNA from 1 species